rnacentral:rRNA from 1 species
AUUGAACGCUGGCGGCAGGCCUAACACAUGCAAGUCGAGCGGAUGAAGGGAGCUUGCUCCUGGAUUCAGCGGCGGAAGGGUGAGUAAUGCCUAGGAAUUUGCCUGGUCGUGGGGGAUAACGUCCGGAAACGGGAGGUAAUAUCGCAUACGUCCUGAGGGAGACAGUGGGGGAUCUUCGGACUUCACGCUAUCAGAUGAGCCUAGGUCGGAUUAGCUAGCUGGUGGGGUAAAGGCCUACCAAGGCGUCGGUCCGUAACUGGUCUGAGAGGAUCAUCAGGCAGCCGGGAACUGAGACACAGCCGCGACUCCGACGGUAAGCAGCAGUGGGAAAUAUUACACGAUGGACGAGAGCGUGAUCCUGCCAUGCCGCGUGUGUGAAGAAGGUCCUCUGAUUGGAGAACGCUGUAGGUUUGAAGAAAGUGCAGUAAUUUAAUACCUUGCGGUAUUGACGUUACCAACAGAAUAAGCACCGGCUAACUUCGUG